AUUGAACGCUGGCGGCAGGCUUAACACAUGCAAGUCGAACGAGUGGCGGACGGGUGAGUAAUGCUUGGGAAUCUCGCUUAUGGAGGGGGCUAACUACGGGAAACUGUAGCUAAUACCGCGUACCAUAGUAUGAGCCCAAGUGGGAUUAGGUAGUGGUUGAGGUAAAGGCUCACCAAGCCGACGAUCUCUAGCUGGUCUGAGAGGAUGACCAGCCACAAUGGGACUGAUACCCGGCCCAGACUCCAACGGGAGGCAGCAGUGGGGAAAAUUGCGAAAUGGGGGCAACCUGAGACAGCCAGGCCGCGUGAAGGAAGAAGGCCUUCGGGUGGUAAAGUUCGUUCGGUAGCGAGGCGUUAACUACAGAAGAAGCACCGGCUAACUCCGUGCCAGCAGCCGCGGUAAUUC
rnacentral:rRNA from 1 species